rnacentral:rRNA from 1 species
AUUGAACGCUGGCGGCAUGCUUUACACAUGCAAGUCGAACGGUAACAGGCCGCAAGGUGCUGACGAGUGGCGAACGGGUGAGUAAUGCAUCGGAACGUGCCCAGUCGUGGGGGAUAACUACUCGAAAGAGUAGCUAAUACCGCAUACGAUCUAUGGAUGAAAGCGGGGGACCGUAAGGCCUCGCGCGAUUGGAGCGGCCGAUGUCAGAUUAGGUAGUUGGUGGGGUAAAGGCUCACCAAGCCAACGAUCUGUAGCUGGUCUGAGAGGACGACCAGCCACACUGGGACUGAGACACGGCCCAGACUCCUACGGGAGGCAGUAGUGGGGAAUUUUGGACAAUGGGCGCAAGCCUGAUCCAGCAAUGCCGCGUGCAGGAAGAGGGCCUUCGGGUUGUAAACUGCUUUUGUACGGAACGAAACGGCUCUGGUUAAUACCCGGGGCUAAUGACGGUACCGUAAGAAUAAGCACCGGCUAACUACGUG